CAAGUCGUACGGUAAGCUUCGGCUUAUAGUGGCGAAAGGGAGAGUAACGCGUGGUUACAUGCCCUCGGGACCGGGAUAGCGGCGGGAAACUGCCGGUAAUACCGGAUAAUAUCUUUGGAUCAAAGGUGUGAUUCCGCCCGAGGAUUGGACCGCGUUCUAUUAGCUUGUUGGCGGGGUAAUGGCCCACCAAGGCGACGAUGGAUACCGGGUGUGAGAGCAUGGCCCGGCUCACUGGGACUGAGACACUGCCCAGACACCUACGGGUGGCUGCAGUCGAGAAUCUUCGGCAAUGGGGGCAACCCUGACCGAGCGACGCCGCGUGCGGGACGAAGGCCUUCGGGUUGUAAACCGCUGUCAGUUGGGAGGAAGUGUCGGGGGGUUCUCCCCUCGGUUUGACCGAUCUUCAGAGGAAGGACGGGCUAAGUUCGUGCCAGCAGCCGCGGUAAGACGAACCGUCCAAACGUUAUUCGGUAUCACUGGGCUUAAAGCGUGCGUAGGCGGCCUGGUAGGUGAGGUGUGAAAGCCCACGGCUCAACCGUGGAAUUGCGCUUCAAACCACCAGGCUGGAGGAUGGCAGGGGUGAUGGGAACUGAUGGUGGAGCGGUGAAAUGCGUUGAUAUCAUCAGGAACACCGGUGGCGAAGGCGCAUCACUGGGCCAUUUCUGACGCUGAGGCACGAAAGCUAGGGUAGCGAACGGGAUUAGAUACCCCGGUAGUCCUAGCUGUAAACGAUGAGCACUGGGUUGAGGGGACCUCCACAUCUUCUCGGCCGUAGCGAAAGCGUUAAGUGCUCCGCCUGGGGAGUAUGGCCGCAAGGCUGAAACUCAAAGGAAUUGACGG
rnacentral:rRNA from 1 species